AUCACACCGAAGGAACAUGAUGUUGGUUUUUAAAAGGGUGCGCAUAACGAUCAGAAUGUUGUACUCUAAGUCGGAAGAAAAACAAGAAUAGAUGUCAAAGAUCAAGUACCUAAAGAAGGGAUUUAGGUUAAACCAACAAAAGAAAAGGGAAUUCGCCAACAAAUCCAAAAAAGAUCGAAACA